rnacentral:tRNA from 18 species
GCCCCCAUAGCUCAGCUGGAUAGAGCGUCCCCCUCCUAAGGGGAAGGUCUCAGGUUCGAAUCCUGAUGGGGGCGCCA